AUAGUCACUCUCUAGGUUCCUUCUUUCCCACAGCUCGACUGCCUCCAGCAGGAAACUGUGUUUGGGCUCAAGCUCACCGUCUGGUGAGGCCCAUGCAUUAGGGGGCCUUAAACAGGAGCGAUC